rnacentral:lncRNA from 1 species
UGCAACAAUAGCUGCUUAAAGUUGGUUAUUUAAAAAUUACAGCCCAAGUACUUCUCUCUAAGACAGCUAUUAAUCUGAGCUCCAGUUCCAAGUAUUCUUCAAAGAGUACUUGGGCAUUUCUUCAGUUCCAAGUACUCUUCAAAGAGUACUCUGGGCAUUUCUUAGGUCUGGAUGCCCCAGUGAAGGCCAUGAAAAGCAUCUGUGUGGUUCUUGCUACAUGAUCUCCUGGACAGCCUCCUAGCACCUUUUUUGCCUUCCUUUCUGGCUGUCUUCUGACCCAGGAAUGCUGCAGCUGUGACCAAGUCACAUGUCUAUUUCAAGAGUGUUACAAACGCAGGAGUUUUAUUUUAUAUUGUUUUAUGUUAUUGUUUUAAAAUUGGUACAUUUGCUGUACAUGCAAUUACAAACAUCUUGGAGACUGGGUACAGGACUCUUUGAAGAACACUCUAUUCAUUAUCAAUCCUCAUUUAAGCUUUCCUAA